UACGGAGGGUGCGAGCGUUGUCCGGAAUCAUUGGGCGUAAAGGGCGCGUAGGUGGCCCGGUCAGUUCGUGGUGAAAGCGCGGGGCUCAACCCUGCGUCGGCCAUGAAUACUGCCGCGGCUGGAGCACUGUAGAGGCAGGCGGAAUUCCGGGUGUAGCGGUGGAAUGCGUAGAGAUCCGGAAGAACACCGGUGGCGAAGGCGGCCUGCUGGGCAGUUUCUGACACUGAGGCGCGACAGCGUGGGGAGCAAACAGG
rnacentral:rRNA from 1 species